AUUGAACGCUGGCGGCAGGCCUAACACAUGCAAGUCGAGCGGAUGAAGGGAGCUUGCUCCUGGAUUCAGCGGCGGACGGGUGAGUAAUGCCUAGGAAUCUGCCUGGUAGUGGGGGGUAACGUCCGGAAACGGGCGCUAAUACCGCAUACGUCCUGAGGGAGAAAGUGGGGGAUCUUCGGACCUCACGCUAUCAGAUGAGCCUAGGUCGGAUUAGCUAGUUGGUGGGGUAAAGGCCUACCAAGGCGACGAUCCGUAACUGGUCUGAGAGGAUGAUCAGUCACACUGGAACUGAGACACGGUCCAGACUCUUACGGGAGGCAGCAGUGGGGAAUAUUGGACAAUGGGCGAAAGCCUGAUCCAGCCAUGCCGCGUGUGUGAAGAAGGUCUUCGGAUUGUAAAGCACUUUAAGUUGGGAGGAAGGGCAGUAAGUUAAUACCUUGCUGUUUUGACGUUACCAACAGAAUAAGCACCGGCUAACUUCGUG
rnacentral:rRNA from 1 species